CCCCCUCUACUUUCCUCUUUCUUUCUUGCUUUGUUCGUCUUGUAUUUCUUCUUCUUCUUCUUUCUCUUUUGUUUUCUUCUUCUUCUUCCUUCGUCUUCUGGUUCGUAAUCUUCUUCUUCGUCUUCUUCUUCUUCGUCAUCGUCGUCUUCUUCUUAGUGUUCUUCUUUACCGACCGGCUGUCCUCCGGCCUACACCCCUAACAGUGCACCGCCUCACCGUCUUCGACCGUCGACCGCGCUCCACUGCUGCCUGCGGACGUCCUCAAACGCAAACCCUAGCUUUUCCCGUGUGUGAUACCCGCCAUUGAGGGACACCGUACUUUUGUGCAUAAUUCUAAGCGGCGAUCCAAGCUUGCUGCAUAAUAAUUGGAGUCAGAUCAGAAUGAAAUCACAGAAAAGAUGGAUGCGCAAGAUGCGAAGUUAGAUGCGCAGGGACUGAAGUUGGAUGUGCAGGCGGCGCAACUGGCCGAUAUUGCGGCAUCCCUGGCAGCCUUGACGGCGGUACUAUCUCUUCCGCAGCCGGCUGUCCAGCCAGUGAAUGGAACACCACUGCAGGAGAAGGCGCCGGGGGUGGCAGAAGAUGAGACGAGCGCAGCCAGUGGACAGCAAGGGGGCAUGCCGCAACCGGGUGGCAAUGCGGCGACAGCCGCAUGGGCGACAGGAGCACGGGGCGAAGGGGAGCGCAUGACACACAGUAGGAUGAUAACGCAGUUGCCGUCCUUUUCCUGAGAUGAUCCAAUCUGCUGGGUGGCGAGGGAUGAACAACAAUUUGAGAUUUACUGCAGAUCAUCAAAGCGGAAGAUAGCAAUGGCGUGGUCGCAAUGGAAGGACCGGCAUUAUAUUGGGUGACAUGGCUACGCACACGUCACCCGGGGCUGCCAUGGGAGGAAUUCACCCAUGCACUAGUGGCGCGGUUUGACACGCGUUUUAAGGGCAACUGUUUCGAGUGACUGUCAGAAGUGAAGCAACAUGGAACGGUGGAUGAGUAUAUAUCGCUCUUUGUUCAAUUGGCAAGUCAAGUUCCGGGAUUGUCGGAGGCGCACUACUUGGGGUAUUUUAUGAGUGGCCUAAAGGGUUCAAUUCGGGGCUCACUUCGUCUGCUACGGCCCACUGAUUUGGAGACCGCGAUGGAGUUGUCCAGGGACAUCGAAGAUAACCUGGGUUUGCAAAAUGACAAACAAGGGAGCCAGACAGUUAGUAACUUUGGAAACCGUUAGUGGGGGUUUUCCCGAUCAUCAGGCGGCGGUCCAAUUUCUGGAAAUAUGAGCAAUAUGAGUGGUAAUAGCCCAAGGGUUGGAAACCAGACUGUGGGUAUGAGCUCAAUGUCAUCUGGACAGUCUACGGCACGUUCUCGGUUCACCCGACUUUCACCCAAGUUAUUGGAGGAACUACGUGCAAAAGGAUUGUGUUUUCGUUGCAAAAAGCCAUUCUCGCCGGGGCAUGAUUGUCCCCUCAAACAACUACGGGUAUUAAUCGCUGAGGAAGACGAGGAGUUAGCUCUCCACCAGUAUGAAUAUUAUGAGGUGACCGGUCUAGAAGGAGGCGAAGAGGAAUAGGCAAGAGAGUUGAGGGACUUGCCACUGUAUUCGAUGACUGGGGUGAUGUUUAGUCUUCGCACGAUGCGGUUACGGGGCAUAGUUCAGGGCACGGAGAUAACCGUAUUAAUCGACGGUGGAGCGAGCCACAACUUUAUAUGUUCUUCUUUAAUUGACAGAUUGGCGCUGCGCCCAAAAUCGACCGGAAAAUUCGGAGUCAAAAUGGGAGAUGGUCGUCGGAAGGAAUCAGAAGGGAUGUGUCGGCAUUUAGCCAUCGGACUACAGGGAUGUGAGGCGGUGGCAGACUGCUACGUAUUUUCCUUAGGGGGUGUGGAAGUUAUCUUGGGUAUUGUGUGGCUCGCCGCACUUGGAGAAAUUGUUCAUAAUUGGGCAAAACUUUCCAUGAGCUUUAAGGGAACUACCGGUCAAGUGAAGCUAAGGGGGGACCCAAUGUUGUGUCGAACUCUUGUAGAGGGAGAUUUACCGCCAUGUUCGGAAUUGCCUGUAUAGUCGGUGUUUAAACCUGCAGAGGUUUUAGCGCAACAAGUAGUUCAAAAGGAUGGGGCCCUUGUUGAGCAAUUGUUGGUUAAGUGGAGUGGACAAUCAUUGGAUGAUGCUACUUUGAUAUCCCGUCCUGACUUCUUGGGAUACUUCACAAACUUCAACCUUGAGGACAAGGUUAUUUCCAAGGGGAUAAAAUUGAUGUGGUGCAAGGGGAUCAGCCCUUGCAAGUUUAUCAUCGACGGAGACGGGCAUGAACCCACCUUCCGUGGGUUAAGUUUAUCCGAAAUUCAAAUUUUAAUUUCUAAUUUAUUAGCUUUAAUUUUAAUUUAUUGUCUUUAAAUUAAAUUUAUUUUCAUUUAUUCUAUCUCUAAAUUUGGAAUUGCGUACCAUAAAUCCCUAACUUAGGACUUUUGGGGGAUUAUGGAUGAAAUAAAUUAUUGAUGAAUUAUCCGUUUGAGAAGGAUAAUUGGGGGAACACACUGUUCUUGUUCUAUUUCUAACCGUGGUUGUUUGCCCCGUAUGACCUUGUUGGGUAGCAUAUAAAUCUAUAUUUAAAUAUUUUUGUAGAGGCCGGUGAGUGACAGGAUUUUAUCCCCGAACCACUUUAAUUUUUGAUCUAAUUUAUGUGUUUGGUAUUUGGCUACAUUAACACUCAAUUAAUUGUUUUUUUUUUAAAUUGAUCAUGUUUAAGUUGGUUGUUUAAACAAACAGCUUUCACACGUAUCAAAUAAAUUGAGCACGUUGUUGGUUGUUUAUACUUGUGGGGUUGUAUAGAUGUUGGUCCGGGUGUCAUCGAGAUAGGAUCCAUGCUAUAAUUAUACUUAUAUUGAUUUAUGUUUUACAAUUUUGAUUACGUUGUUGUAUGGAUGGUUAAAUUAGGCAAAUCAUCUCCGACUUUUUCUCUUACGAAUACUAUAAUGUUUUACUUAAUAUCUUUAAUAUUUUAUAUUGAUUAAAUAUUUCAUGAGGUUUGUUUUCUUUCCGAUAAUAUGCACAUGUUUUCUUUAUAU